AACCAUUUUGGACUGGGGUAGGCUACUUCUAGCCUAGAAACCAGACAAUCUGCAGAGCUCAUGUGGCUCAAUGCUAGGCUAGGCUACCCCCAGUCCUGUUAGGGACUCACGUACUCCUUCAUCAGUUCCCAUUGCGCCACAACAAAAGAACCCUUUGUUUGUGCAAGUACCACUGGUUGGGAAUCACUGAGAAGUUUGGACAUUUGAACUAAGCUGCCACUCGCCUUUACAUGGAUACACAGCUCUUGUAUGUCUGCCCCCAUCCAUCUGGGCAGUGGAAAGCAAAGG